CAAUGUUUUUUGGUAUGGUAUUUUUUUAUUUGGAAUACGAUCCCAUUCAUGCAGAUAUCUGAUUGGUGGUGUGUGACCAUCUUUAAGGAAAAACCAAACGACAAUGUACUUAUUGAAAAGUGAUGUUACGAUACUAGGACCAGGGUUCGUUUUAAGGGGCUUGGGUUAGAGUCAGUACUGAUGUCACACAGAGGGGGCGGUGUUGAGGUGCUCAUCACUGGCUAGUACCAACGGCUGAGUGGGAGGGGAGGCUCAGAGCUUGAGACUGAGUGGAGAUUAGGAGGUUAGGGUUAGCUAACCCUAACCCUAACAGCUGAGGAGGAGGGGAGGCUCAGAGCUUGAGACUGAGUGGAGAUUAGGAGGUUAGGGUUAGCUAACCCUAACCCUAACAGCUGAGGAGGAGGGGAGGCUCAGAGCUUGAGACUGAGUGGAGAUUAGGAGGUUAGGGUUAGCUAACCCUGACCCUAACAGCUGAGGAGGAGGGGAGGCUCAGAGCUUGAGACUGAGAGGAGAUUAGGAGGUUAGGGUUAGCUAACCCUAACCCUAACAGCUGAGGAGGAGGGGAGGCUCAGAGCUUGAGACUGAGAGGAGAUUAUGAGGUGAGAUUAGGGUUAGGGUUAGCUAACCCUGACCCUAACCCUAACAGCUGAGUGGGAGGGGAGGCUCAGAGCUUGAGACUGAGUGGAGAUUAGGAGGUUAGGGUUAGCUAACCCUAACCCUAACAGCUGAGGAGGAGGGGAGGCUCAGAGCUUGAGACUGAGUGGAGAUUAGGAGGUGAGAUUAGGGUUAGGGUUAGCUAACCCUGACCCUAACCCUAACAGCUGAGUGGGAGGGGAGGCUCAGAGCUUGAGACUGAGAGGAGAUUAUGAGGUGAGAUUAGGGUUAGGGUUAGCUAACCCUGACCCUAACCCUAACAGCUGAGUGGGAGGGAAGGCUCAGAGCUUGAGACUGAGUGGAGAUUAGGAGGUUAGGGUUAGCUAACCCUAACCCUAACAGCUGAGGAGGAGGGGAGGCUCAGAGCUUGAGACUGAGAGGAGAUUAUGAGGUGAGAUUAGGGUUAGGGUUAGCUAACCCUGACCCUAACCCUAACAGCUGAGUGGGAGGGGAGGCUCAGAGCUUGAGACUGAGAGGAGAUUAUGAGGUGAGAUUCGGAGUGAAAGAGAGUAACCCGAUGGACACAUGUUGCUCGGCGACUUCGAUGAGAGAACCUUUUGUAUUUGUAUGUACGCGGUGAACUGAGAGAAGAAUAGGAAGCGCUGGCUGGUCGCCUGUAGACUAGUUGCCGUUGCUGCGGGAUGCCGGGCUGUUUGCCCAUUGUGGCUGUGGACCUGUGGUAAGGCCCUCGUCCAUAACCCCCUAGAUAGGUUAGAUAGCACUCAGCAAGGGAAAGCCUAGGGACAGACAUAGGUUAUGGGCUGCCUACCCAGGUUAGGGUUAGGGUUAACCCUAACCCUACCCAGGUUAUCACGAGGUCGGUAGGUUAGCUCAUCCCAGUGGGGCUGAGGGUUGCACAGUAUUUUUACGGAUUGAUCCUUUCCAAACCUCAACUUAAAUGUACAAAGUUUUUAAUAUGUAUUUUAAGAUGUAAAAAUAAGGUCACUUUUACCAGGUAACGUCAAUCAAACCUUGCACCACCCAAUAUCUGAUCAGCGAGUGGAGAUCCUGAAUAACAUUAAUUUAACCUGAAAGAUCAAAGAGGUUUUCGGAUUCCACAGUACAUGAUUCCCUUACUCAAGCCAACGCGCUCGUGUCAAAGCUCAGCUGUCAGGAUAGUUCUUCAGUUCUCUCUGACUCUCCAUUGUCUGACCUGUUUUUGUCAUUGACUCUCUUCUGAAGGCUCCGAGGUGCUUGAAGGGCAUUGGGCAUGUUGUUAGUUCUGCCGUAGCGUCUCGUGCGGUUCUAUAGGCAAUGUGAUAAUAGUUAAAUGAAACACAAUAUUUGACUCAACAUCCAAGUUACAUUUAUGAAAUAGAUUAAAUCGGACACAGUGUUAAAAUAAGCAGGAGAAAAUCUUACACAUUGUCACUACUACUGACUAAAUAACUGACCUAAUAUAUUCUUAAGUUGAUUAGAUGAAUGUUUUCUAUUUUGCACAGUGAUGAAAUGUAAAUGUUAAUAAUAAUUAAUAAAAUGUUUAGACAAAACUGUGUGUGUGUGUGUGUGUGUGUGUGUGUGUGUGUGUGUGUGUGUGUGUGUGUGUGUGUGUGUGUGUGUGUGUGUGUGUGUGUGUGUGUGUGUGUGUGUGUGUGUGUGUGUGUGUG